GAGCGUGCGAGCAGGUGCGGUGUUGUGUGUUCCUCAGUGCAGGGCAAGGCUGCGGGUGCUCUCCCCCAGGGCAGUGUUUGAUGGCGCCCCUGGGAUUAUGAGUGAGGCAGGUGACAUCCCCCCCCUGCCCCCCGCCCGCUCCCUCUCCCCCAGGUCGUUCGAAACAGUUGGGCAAAAUAAUAAUGUCAGAAGAAAGAGUAAGCUGUGAAGGAAGAACAUCUGUCAUAAAGUGUUACUGGAGGCACGAAAAUGUCAAAGAAGUGCAAAGACAAUUCAGAAGACACUUUGACAGGGAUCCACCAAGAUUUGCAUCAACCACCAGCAGCAGCAGCAGCAGCAGCAGCAGCAGCAGCAUGGCAGUAGUAGCAGGAGUAGUGAAUGGUCACACGUAUGUGGUGACUACUUGGACUAUCAGGCCGCCAUUGUAGUGUGCUGGACUAUUGGUCAACAAUGAGCCGAGAAAGUUACGUGGUACAACUAUUUCGGCGAUAGUAGUGGCUGUUAAGAACGUGGCGAGGCGAAGGUUUACCCCGGCGGCCAUCUUUGUUUUGGGAAUGGUCUUGUUCUAUUGGAUGAACAGAACUGUGAGAUUUGCAUCAACCAUCACCAGCAGCAGUAGCAGCAGCAGCAAGGCAGUAGUAGCAGGAGUAGUGAAUGGUCACACGUAUGUGGUGACUACUUGGACUAUCAGGCCGCCCUUGUAGUGUGCUGGACUAUUGGUCAACAAUGAGCCGAGAAAGUUACUUAGUACAACAAUUUCGGCGAUAGUAGUGGCUAGUUGCCGAUCCAAAGGCCUGGUUUAAGAGUGAUCCCGAGCUAUCUGUACCAUCAAGAUCAAGAUCGAGCGUCCAUAUCAGAUGGCGAGUCUGCUUACAAAAUUGCAUCGGAGGGACUGAUAGAGGUAGCCACAAUUAUCCAUCAUCAUCGGCGACACCAUGGCUCUUGAGAAGAUAGACAGACCCUGAUGACAGCGUGGUGAGCGAGGAGGGGGAGUCAACCAGCAGAGUGGGGGAGCAUGACCCCUACUUUGAACCAGUGGUGACCUUGCUGGAGGUCUUCGUGGUUAGUGAUGAUGACCAGGAGGAGGAAAUGAUAACACUGAGUUUCGAGGUCAGGUCAGGCAGUACAAGCUGUUUCAUUAUCACACCUCUGAGUCGCCUCCACAGUGGAAGGAACGGGGCAUGGGGGCCAUUAACAUUCUGAGGAACAAGCAGAAGGCUGUGGAGUUUGUUCAGCGGCAGAAUUAAUGCCAGUGGCUGAGUUCAGAUCCUCCAAGACACACACACACACACACAGCAGCCCCUCCACCUCCCCACAGCCCUCCACAGUCUCUGACACAGCCCCUGACACAGCAUCUGACACAGCCCCUUCACAGACCACCACAUAUCUCACACAUACAUAAGAACAUAAGAAAUAAGGGAAGCUGCAAGAAGCGACCAGGCUUACACGUGGCAGUCCCUGUAUGAAAUAUACCUACUUAUUUCCAUCUGUUAUCCCCAUCCAUAAACUUGUCUAAUCUUCUCUUAAAGCUCUCUAGUGUCCUAGCACUAACUACAUGAUUACUGAGUCCAUUCCAAUCAUCUAUCACUCUUUUUGAGAACCAAUUUUUUUUCUUAUCUCCUUCCUAAACCUAAAUUUUUUAAGCUUGUACCCAUUAUUUCUUUUUCUACCCUGGUUGCUGAUCCUAAGAAUUUUGCCUACAUCCCCCUUAUGUCACUCAAAGACUUCUAUCAGGUCCCCUCUUAACCUACGUAUCUCUAAAGAAUGUAAAUUUAACAGCUUCAACCUCGCCUUGUAAGGAAUACUCCUCAUCCCCUGUAUCCUUUUAGUCAUUCUUCUCUGUACUGAUUCUAAUAGACCUAUAUCUUUCCUGUAAUGUGGGGACCAGAACUGCACAGCGUAGUCUAGAUGAGGUCUGACCAGCACCAAGUAUAACUUUAAUAUUACUUUGGGCCUUCUACUUUUAACACUCCUAAAAAUCACACACACCACAAGAGCCUCACAAACAGUCUCACAGCCUUCACAAGCAGCCCCACACUCCACCACAGACACACCAGACCCACAGCCCUUCACCUCACCCACUUCCCAGCCCCCCACAGCCCCCCAGCCACCACAAAUGAAGUCAAAGGAAGGGACUGUGGCUUCACCCAGCCAGCCAGGACAGCCUACAGAGAGGGGGUAGUCCCAGUCAAGUCACAAAAUAUAGGCUUGGUUCUUCCUACAGUUUGAAGUCAAUGAUUGGACAGGCCAGACAGCUUAGUGGCAGAGCUGCAGGUGGCCCUCGUCAGCUUCCUGGUGGCACAGGUGUAGGAUGGCUGGGAGCAGUGGAGGUGCCUGAUGGGGCAGCUGUGCCGGGCAGAGGGGCUGCUACUGCUGCUGGGGAGAGCCACACUUGUAUGGUGGUAACACGGAGAGGAAGUGGAAGAAACCUUGGGACGCUCCCAUAACUCAGGAGCAAGAAUUACACCUUACUGGAACCUUGUGACUGACAGGUGGUGGUGACUGCAGGAACCAAUUCAGGUGAACAUUGUGUUUUGUUGCUACACUUGAGAAUCCUCUAUCCUAAAUAAAAAAUUGGCAAACUUUUUUUUAUUUUCUGGCCAAUCCUGUUUACCUUGAGGGCAUGACCUGUACUCUGCCAGAAACUUUAUUCCCUGGCCAAUUAUUAUUAUUAUUUUUUUUUUUAUAUUACCCUGAGGGCAUGACCUGUACUCUCAGAAAGAUUGCCUGAAACUUUAUUUCCUGGCCAAUUAUUAUUAUUUUUUUUUUAUAUUACCUUGAGGGCAUGACCUGUACUCUCUGAAAGGUUGGCAAACAAAGAUACUAUUGACAUGUCAUUAUGUUCAAGAUUGUACACAAGAUGGAAUACUGAAUGUUUAUUGUUUUACUGUGAAUGUUAAGUGAAUAAUAAAUACACAACAGGAUAAUAAACAUG